rnacentral:rRNA from 1 species
GCCUAGCCAUAAACCUAGAUAGUUCCACAACCAACUAUCCGCCAGAGAAUUACGAGCGAAAAGCUUAAAACUCAAAAGACUUGACGGUGUCCCAUAUCACCCUAGAGGAGCCUGUCCUACAAUCGAUACCCCACGUUUAACCCCACCUGCCCUUGCAAAUUACUACAGCCUAUAUACCGCCGUCUCCAGCCCACCUAAUGAUAGUACCACAGCGGGCAAAACUGUCAACACACUAAUACGUCAGGUCAAGGUGUAGCUAACGGGCAGGCAGAGAUGAGCUACAUUUUCUAAACUAGACUACUACCAACGGCAACAUGAAAACCUGCCUAAAAGGAGGAUUUAGAAGUAAGCCGGGACACCACCCCCCCACUGAAACCCGCUCUGGGACGCGU